rnacentral:misc_RNA from 1 species
GAAAUGCGAUAAGUAAUGUGAAUUGCAGAAUUCAGUGAAUCAUCGAAUCUUUGAACGCACCUUGCGUUCCUUGGUAUUCCUUGGAGCAUGCCUGUUUGAGUAUCAUGAAAUCUUCAAAGUAAAUCUUUUGUUAACUCAAUUGGUUUCUACUUUGGUAUUGGAGGUCUUUGCAGCUUCACACCUGCUCCUCUUUGUUCAUUAGCUGGAUCUCAGUGUUAUGCUUGGUUCCACUCGGCGUGAUAAGUUAUCUAUCGCUGAGGACACUGUAAAAGGUGGCCAAGGUAAAUGCAGAUGAACCGCUUCUAAUAGUCCAUUGACUUGGACAAUACUUUUAUGAUCUGAUCUCAAAUCAGGUAGGACUACCCGCUGAACUUAAGC